UUUUAAUGAGAAUGAAAAAAUAAUACUACUAUCCUUUCCAUGCUUUACUUUUUCAUUCUUUAACUUUAACAUUUUAAUUAGUUCUUAUAUUGUAUAUUGUACGUACAGUGUAUGAUUUAGUAACAAAUGAACCAUGUUUGGUCCUGAUGUUGGAUUGUAGUGUACUUUGUACAGUUAACCGUACUGUUCAUAACGAUACUCUGUACUCUGUACAGUAGAUGUAUCUAAUUCCCGCAUUUCUUAGUAGAUAACGUGAUGGCAACAAGCCGGUCGUUAUUAGAUAAUUUAAAUACAUGUGAUAUAUAGUUUAUCUAAUAGUCGAUAUAUUUAAAUAAAGGCUUCAAGACUAUUA